rnacentral:piRNA from 1 species
GUGAGUCUGGCGAGGCUGGGCCGGGAGG